rnacentral:rRNA from 1 species
CAGUCCCGCGGUAAUACAGAGGGUGCGAGCGUUAAUCGGAUUUACUGGGCGUAAAGCGUGCGUAGGCGGCUUUUUAAGUCGGAUGUGAAAUCCCUGAGCUUAACUUAGGAAUUGCAUUCGAUACUGGGAAGCUAGAGUAUGGGAGAGGAUGGUAGAAUUCCAGGUGUAGCGGUGAAAUGCGUAGAGAUCUGGAGGAAUACCGAUGGCGAAGGCAGCCAUCUGGCCUAAUACUGACGCUGAGGUACGAAAGCAUGGGGAGCAAACAGGAUUAGAUACCCCAGUAGUCCCUGUCUCUUAUACA